UAAAAGCCUACCAAGCCUAAGAUCCUUAGCUGUUCUGAGAGGUUGAACAGCCACACUGGGACUGAGACAAGGCCCAGGCUCCAUUUGGAGCCAGCAGUGAGGAAUUUUGGACAAUGAGCGAAAGCUUGAUCCAGCAAUACUACAUGAGUGAAGAAGGCUUUCAAGUUGUAACACUCUUUGGUUGAGGAGGAUAAUGACAGUACUCAACAAAAUAGCCCCGGCUAACUUCGUGCCAGCAGCCGCGGUAAGACGAAGGGGGCGAGCGUUAUCCGGAAUGACUGGGCGUAAAGGGUCCGUAGGCAGCAUUUUUUGUUGGAAGUUAAAUAAAAAAGCUUAACUUUUUUCCGCUUCUAAAACGUAAAUGCUUUGAGUUUGAUAGAAGAUAGCAGAAUUUCACAAGGAGGGGUGAUAUCCAGAGAUCUGUGAAGGAAUAUCAGAUGCGAAGGCGGCUAUCUAGAUCAACACUGACGUUGAGGGACGAAAGCAUGGGGAGCAAACAGGAUUAGAUACCCUGGUAGUCCAUGCCCUAAAAGAUGAGUGUUCGUGCUUAGAGAACUUUAGGCACUUAGUUAACACGUUAAACACUCCGCCUGGGGAGUACGAUCGCAAGGUUGGAACUCAAAGGAAUUGACGGGGGCCUAUACAAGUGGUGGAGCAUGUGGUUUAAUGCGAUAAUACGCGCGAAACCUUACCAGUUCUUGACAUAAAAAAGAAAAAGUUUGAAAAAGCAAUUUUAAAGAUUUUUACAGGUGCUGCAUGGCUGUCGUAAGCUCGUGUCGUGAGAUGUUAGGUUAACUCCUUUUAACGGGCGAAACCCCUUUUUUUCGUUGCUACUUAAUUUUAUUUUUAAAGCACUCUAAAAAAACUGCUCCCUUUUUUUAAUUCGGAGAGGAAGGUGGGGAUGACGUCAAGUCCUUAUGGCCCUUAUGAACUGGGCUACACACGUGCUACAAUGGUAAAGACAAUAAGAAGUGAUAGGGUAACCUAAAACCAAUCUUUAAACUUUAUCAAAGUUCGGAUUGUGGACUGCAACUCGUCCAUAUGAAGGUGGAAUCACUAGUAAUCGCACAUCAGCAUGUUGCGGUGAAUUUGUACCUAGGCCUUGUACACACCGCCCGUCACGUGCCGGGAGUUGGC
rnacentral:rRNA from 1 species